rnacentral:rRNA from 1 species
ACGCUCGACACCUACGGGAGGCNGCAGUGGGGGAUAUUGCACAAUGGGCGCAAGCCUGAUGCAGCGACGCCGCGUGAGGGAAGACGGUCUUCGGAUUGUAAACCUCUGUCUUCGGGGACGAUAAUGACGGUACCCGAGGAGGAAGCCACGGCUAACUACGUGCCUGCAGCCGCGGUAAUCUGAGCGGGCUGGCAAGGC